CAUCAUGUGAUAGGGAAUUAACAAGCAGUUAACGAGAUAAUGAGGAGGAGAGUUCAGCCCCUCCUGGGGCUAUAAGUAUAGAUGUAGUGUCUGACCCUUAUUUUUUGGUUUGUACGGCCCUGAGCAUCGUAGAAGCCUUUGUCUGCAGUGCUGCAGUCUUCAGCAGUGGGAGAUAAAGAGCAGAAGCUGAGGAUGUCGUGAAACAACAACAGCAACGCACACGUGGAAAUGGAGGUGGCUCAGGGAAUGCAUCGAUUGCAAAAAGAAUGAGGGGGGGAAAAAAGGAAACAAAAGCGAAGUCAUCGUGCACAAAUACCCUCUGCUCAGUGGUUUUUGGCUGCAAGGCUUAGGGCAGGACUGCAGCAGCUUGGGAUGCACACCCCUGGGGCUGUUGGCCGAUGGGCACUUGAAUUCUCCGGCGUUUGCACAUCUCAUGCCAUACAUUUUUUUUCUGAGAGCACUCAGGGCUGGGGGACGCUUGGGAGGCUGCACAAGAGGAGGCUUUUUGUUCCUGACAUCGCCACGGCUGCAUCGCUGGAGGACAAUGAGCCGCUUCUUGCAGCCUGGGCUGGCAUCUUGGCUUACUAAGGUUUUGCCCUGUGGAGGAAUGUUCCCCUAAAAUACAGUGGAUGGCUGCAGCAGCGUUAAAGACUCCAAUGAAGGUGACAGCUUGCAGUCCUGGGAAAAGGGAAUGCUGCCUUUGCUGCCUGUUAGUGGGAUUGAGCCCUGUGUUGCUGCAGUACGAAGCUCCACGGCCUCGUUCACAUCAAUCCCUGGGGUGCAAAGAGGUGUCAAACGCUUCUGGCUGCUUUGCGGAGAGGAAACGCUGCUUUUCCGGCAGUGAGCAGGAGGUCUGUGGGGGUUUAGUGCAGCUGUUGUGCGCUGUGAUGGCUUUCAGAUCCUAUCCUGUCCCAAGCGCCGAUCGUGGCUCAGGGCUGAUGAUGCCGGAUGGUUUUUAUAUCUAUCUGCCAUUUCAGGCUGUGUUUUUGCAAUGAGGAUGGAUUUUCCCACUGAGUUGCACUGGGCUUGAGAUGCUGAGUGUGGAGACUGCAGCUUCAAAAUAAGCAGAAGAACACAGAGCCUCCAUCCCAGCUCCGGAGAUGUAAUUCCCUAUCCCCACUGGGAGAAUUCAGACUUACUUUCAUCCCCCUGAAUUUAGAGGCUGGAUCAGGGACAAUGGGAAACGUGCUGUGUCCUCAACACCGUACAGCAGCACUUCAGCCGGUGCUGCUGCUAGCGUCACCCUGCCUGAAGUGCCCUCCGGCUGUUCCCUGCACAAAGGGCCCAUUUUCUUCCAGUUUUGCCAUUUUUGAAAGCUGCCGCUGAGCCUUCGCCCCAUGGGUGUCACCAACCCUGGGCCGGGGGAGAGGGGGUGGAGCAUAAAUGGGGUCCAGCAGAUCUCCUGGGGGAUUCAGAUGCCCCAUUGUGAUUCAGGGGGGACGUUGGGGAUUAUUGACAAACCAGCUCAUCGGUGAUCACCCCAGUGCUGUGGUUUGCACUGUGGUUUCUGGGACCUUUCCCAAUUAUCGCCAUUUUCACGUGUUGUUUUCCCUCUUUGGGAAAUGCUUGUUUUGCAUGGUGAGGGAAAAGGAACGGAGCAGCAUAAUCUGCAGCAGGGGACGUGCCCAUAAUGGAUGCACGGUGUGGAGCCAUCCUGGCCAGUGGGAUGCUCACAAAUCCUGAGUUUAAUGCCUGAAUUGUGCCCUAGUGAACCCCACGCUGACAAGCAUAAGUAUCAUGGUGUUUAUAAUGGCUUUGUCGCGGGUUAAGAAGGUAUUUGAUGAGGCGAAGCAAGACAAAGACCUCCUGGGGCGAAGUCAUCCUUUGGGUAAAUGCCAGCGCUGGUGAAGGGAGAAGACUACAUCUCCCAGGGUGCCCUACGGCCAUCAUGGCCGCCAGAUUGUGCGGUGCUAAAUACUACCAAUCCCAGAAUGCAACGCUGUCCAACAUGGCUUACCAAAAGUGCUUCCGGAAGACUACAUGUCCCAGCUCCUGGCUGGAGGACUACAGCUCCCAAUACGCUGUCACGUUCCGACAGGCUUGGCCCAGCAGAGGUGUGGCCCAGUCAACGGCGGUGACAUCGCUUCUGCCGCCCGCUCCUCGCAGCGCUGCCGCUCCGGGUCUCUGGAGGGAGCAGCAGCUCACCCAAGGCCUACUGGGCGCCUCAGCAAGGGGUAGUGCGCAUGCGUCGGGCCGCGACGCGCGCGCGCAGCCUCACUGCGCAUGCGUUCUUCGCGCAAUCGGCGCGCGAGUUUUCCGGGCGCAGCAACGCGCAUGCUUGCCAUUCAGGCAGACGGCACCGCGCUUGCGCGGCAGCAGGGCAGGGCGAGCGGCUGUUUUGCGCAUGCGUCCCGCCGUAGGGUGGAAGCGCCCAUGCGCGGAGCCGCGCGCUCUGAGGCUGAGGAGCAGCCGCUGCCUCGCCCCGCUCCGGGCGGCAGAGGGCAGCGCUGGCGCGGAGCUCUGUGGAGAAGCGAAGUCUUUCUUGUCUUUGCGCACUUGGGCUCCGCGCUGACUGACUCAUAAGAACGCUCGAGGCCCAAAGUGAACGUGAUUUUAUUGUCUGUCGGUUCUGGAUGUUCUGGGGACUAUUCCAAGGGGACGACAGAGACAGGUUUUCUUCUUGCUCUUUGACGCUGUAAGGAGGAGUGGGGACUUCAAAUGUAGCAUGAAACUGAGAAUAAUCGACACGGAAAAAGCCAUCUUCCAGGGACAUCACUGGGAGGAAUCUGUGACCCCAAAGAACUUCAUCUUCCGUAUAUGAGGUCCUAGCUUGGCAAGUCAUUCCUGUGGAGGCAGAGACAAGAGAAUGACGUUGUAACAUAAGCAAAAACUGUGAUGUACAUGCAAGGACUUUAAGGUAAGCAGCAUAGUAAUGGCAAAGCACAUCUGGUGAAUCUCAUUUGCACAGAGUUGUCCAAAUCAAUGUUACUGAUGAUAAUGCUAAUGAUGCUUCCCUUCCCAAUUACUACAUGCCACGUACCACAUGGUAUUUCUUAUUGGUGUAAUUCAGCUAAGUUCCCCAUUUGCAUCAUUUCAUUGGUCUAUUAAAAAUACUGAUGGGUUAGGUGUUUUUUUGUUGGUUUUUUUUCUAGCUUCCUAAAAUUUUCCUAGCAUUCAAAACAACUGAGAACAUGCAGCAGUUGACCAGGCAGGUCCUCCACUGAUGGCUUCAAACUGCUGGAAACCGAUUGUUAAAAUUAAAGCUUUGCAGAGCCUAUUUAAGAUCCUAUUAUUUAAAAUCCUUUCUGUUUUAUUGCUCGAUUAGAAAGCACGUGAUUGUUUGAGAAGCUUAUUAUUGAUCAUGAAUGAGAGAUAAUUGCGUAGCUGCUAGUUUGUUCUGUCUGUUUUGAUAAAUGUGUUGGUUCCAUUACGUGGAAACUCCGUCCAUUAGUGAUAGGGAACAAGCUGAAGCAAGCAGUUUUGCUGUUGACUCCAAUCUAAUAGGUUUUCUUCAGGGGAAAGAAAGUUUCUAUCUUUAACAACAACAAAUCCCAAGCAACAGCUGUACUUUGAGAUUGUCUCUCUGAUUUCUGGUGUAUUAAAAAAGCUGAAUAUCUCACUGCCUGGCAUUUACUGUGAUUCCUGAACCAGUUUAGAUAGCUGGUGGAGUACUGAGCCUUACUCACACAAUACAAUACAAUGCAUUGUUUUAUUUAUCUGUUAUGUGUUUGGUAUUCUGCUCAAAUAAGUAAAUAAAUGUAUCUCCUCCUAAAUAACCGAAGUUGUCCCUUAGGUAAGAGAUGGUUUCUCCACGGCUGAGGAGGACAAGGGACACAUCAGCUGACUGCUUGUAAAAGCGUUCUCAGGCCUCACCUUGAUCAGCUUGCAGCGGAUCUGGGCAGAAACCAUGUGGCUGUUGCGGAGGUUGCCGACCCGGAACAUGAGGCAG